ACGGAGCCAUCCUUGAAAUACCACCCUUUAACGUUUGAUGUUCUAACCCGGGUCCAUAAUCUGGAUCGGGGACCGUGUCUGGUGGGUAGUUUGACUGGGGCGGUCUCCUCCCAAAGAGUAACGGAGGAGCACGAAGGUUGGCUAAGCAUGGUCGGACAUCAUGCGGUUAGUGCAAAGGCAUAAGCCAGCUUGACUGCGAGAGUGACGGCUCGAGCAGGUACGAAAGUAGGUCUUAGUGAUCCGGUGGUUCUGAAUGGAAGGGCCAUCGCUCAACGGAUAAAAGGUACUCCGGGGAUAACAGGCUGAUACCGCCCAAGAGUUCAUAUCGACGGCGGUGUUUGGCACCUCGAUGUCGGCUCAUCACAUCCUGGGGCUGAAGUAGGUCCCAAGGGUAUGGCUGUUCGCCAUUUAAAGUGGUACGCGAGCUGGGUUUAGAACGUCGUGAGACAGUUCGGUCCCUAUCUGCCGUGGGCGCUGGAAGAUUGAGAGGGGUUGCUCCUAGUACGAGAGGACCGGAGUGAACGCACCACUGGUGUACGGGUUGUGAUGCCAAUUGCAUUGCCCGGUAGCUAAGUGCGGAAGAGAUAACCGCUGAAAGCAUCUAAGCGGGAAACUUGCCUCGAGAUGAGUCUUCCCUGACCCUUUAAG
rnacentral:rRNA from 1 species